GAUGAACGCUAGCGGCAGGCUUAAUACAUGCAAGUCGAGGGGCAGCGCAGUGUAGCAAUACAUGGGCGGCGACCGGCAAACGGGUGCGGAACACGUACGCAACCUACCCAAAACUGGGGAAUAGCCCGGGGAAACCCGGAUUAAUACCUCGUAACAUAAUAGUGUGGCAUCACAUUAUUAUUAUAGCUCCGGCGGUUUUGGAUGGGCGUGCGCCUGAUUAGAUAGUUGGCGGGGUAACGGCCCACCAAGUCUGCGAUCAGUAACUGGUGUGAGAGCA
rnacentral:rRNA from 1 species